AUGUCAAGAGAGAAUGAUAAACUUUACUUCAUUGAUUAUGAAUAUGCAUCAUACAACUACAGAGGCUAUGACAUAGGGAAUCACUUUGCAGAAUAUGUCGGUUUUGAAUGUGACUACUCCUUGUACCCAAAUAUGAAUGAACAAUAUCAUUUCUUCAGGCAUUACUUACAGCCGGACAGACCUCAAGAGGUAACAAUCAUAGUGAAGGGGAUUAAUAUUUAA
rnacentral:lncRNA from 1 species